GACGAACGCCGGCGGCGUGCUUAACACAUGCAAGUCGAACGGAAAUACCAAGCUUGCUUGGUUGAUUAGUGGCGAACGGGUGAGUAACACGUGAGUAACCUGCCCCUUACUUUCCGGAUAACUGCUCGAAAGGGUAGCUAAUACGGGAUAUUCUGACCGGCCUGCAUGGGUUGGUUGGAAAGGUUGUUUUUUCUGGUGAGGGAUGGGCUCGCGGCCUAUCAGCUUGUUGGUGGGGUGAUGGCCUACCAAGGCUUUGACGGGUAGCCGGCCUGAGAGGGUGGACGGUCACACUGGGACUGAGAUACGGCCCAGACUCCUACGGGAGGCAGCAGUGGGGAAUAUUGCACAAUGGGCGCAAGCCUGAUGCAGCGACGCCGCGUGAGGGAUGAAGGCCUUCGGGUUGUAAACCUCUUUCGUCAGGGAACAAGGCACUACGUUUUGGUGGUGUUGAGGGUACCUGGAUAAGAAGCGCCGGCUAACUACGUGCCAGCAGCCGCGGUAAUACGUAGGGCGCAAGCGUUGUCCGGAAUUAUUGGGCGUAAAGAGCUCGUAGGCGGCUGGUCGCGUCUGUCGUGAAAACUUCCGGCUCAACCGGGGGCUUGCGGUGGGUACGGGCCGGCUAGAGUGCGGUAGGGGUAACUGGAACUCCUGGUGUAGCGGUGGAAUGCGCAGAUAUCAGGAAGAACACCGAUGGCGAAGGCAGGUUACUGGGCCGUUACUGACGCUGAGGAGCGAAAGCGUGGGGAGCGAACAGG
rnacentral:rRNA from 1 species